rnacentral:rRNA from 1 species
UAGGGAAUCUUCGGCAAUGGGGGCAACCCUGACCGAGCAACGCCGCGUGAGUGAAGAAGGUUUUCGGAUCGUAAAGCUCUGUUGUAAGUCAAGAACGGGUGUGAGAGUGGAAAGUUCACACUGUGACGGUAGCUUACCAGAAAGGGACGGCUAACUACGUGCCAGCAGCCGCGGUAAUACGUAGGUCCCGAGCGUUGUCCGGAUUUAUUGGGCGUAAAGCGAGCGCAGGCGGUUUGAUAAGUCUGAAGUUAAAGGCUGUGGCUCAACCAUAGUUCGCUUUGGAAACUGUCAAACUUGAGUGCAGAAGGGGAGAGUGGAAUUCCAUGUGUAGCGGUGAAAUUGCGUAGAUAUAUGGAGGAACACCGGUGGCGAAAGCGGCUCUCUGGUCUGUAACUGACGCUGAGGCUCGAAAGCGUGGGGAGCGAACAGGAUUAGAUACCCUGGUAGUCCACGCCGUAAACGAUGAGUGCUAGGUGUUGGAUCCUUUCCGGGAUUCAGUGCCGCAGCUAACGCAUUAAGCACUCCGCCUGGGGAGUACGACCGCAAGGUUGA